rnacentral:rRNA from 1 species
AGUAGGUGGGGUAACGGCUCACCUAGGCGACGAUCCCUAGCUGGUCUGAGAGGAUGACCAGCCACACUGGAACUGAGACACGGUCCAGACUCCUACGGGAGGCAGCAGUGGGGAAUAUUGCACAAUGGGCGCAAGCCUGAUGCAGCCAUGCCGCGUGUAUGAAGAAGGCCUUCGGGUUGUAAAGUACUUUCAGCGGGGAGGAAGGGAGUAAAGUUAAUACCUUUGCUCAUUGACGUUACCCGCAGAAGAAGCACCGGCUAACUCCGUGCCAGCAGCCGCGGUAAUACGGAGGGUGCAAGCGUUAAUCGGAAUUACUGGGCGUAAAGCGCACGCAGGCGGUUUGUUAAGUCAGAUGUGAAAUCCCCGGGCUCAACCUGGGAACUGCAUCUGAUACUGGCAAGCUUGAGUCUCGUAGAGGGGGGUAGAAUUCCAGGUGUAGCGGUGAAAUGCGUAGAGAUCUGGAGGAAUACCGGUGGCGAAGGCGGCCCCCUGGACGAAGACUGACGCUCAGGUGCGAAAGCGUGGGGAGCAAACAGGAUUAGAUACCCUGGUAGUCCACGCCGUAAACGAUGUCGACUUGGAGGUUGUGCCCUUGAGGCGUGGCUUCCGGAGCUAACGCGUUAAGUCGACCGCCUGGGGAGUACGGCCGCAAGGUUAAAACUCAAAUGAAUUGACGGGGGCCCGCACAAGCGGUGGAGCAUGUGGUUUAAUUCGAUGCAACGCGAAGAACCUUACCUGGUCUUGACAUCCACGGAAGUUUUCAGAGAUGAGAAUGUGCCUUCGGGAACCGUGAGACAGGUGCUGCAUGGCUGUCGUCAGCUCGUGUUGUGAAAUGUUGGGUUAAGUCCCACAACGAGCGCAACCCUUAUCCUUUGUUGCCAGCGGUCCGGCCGGGAACUCAAAGGAGACUGCCAGUGAUAAACUGGAGGAAGGUGGGGAUGACGUCAA